AUGGGUGUGAUGUCACCCAAUCCUUCGCUGUUUUCCAGGAAACCUUGGAAUGGGAGAUGUCAGCAGGAACGGAUGUGGGCUUGGCGCUGUUUAUUCUUCACCGUCCAGAAGUCUAGGCAAACAAGUCAAACCCUUAGGACCCUUCUGUGGACUCAGGAUUCAUCAAAAUUCUUUAAUGGGUGUGAUGUCACCCAAUCCUUCGCUGUUUUCCAGGAAACCUUGGAAUGGGAGAUGUCAGCAGGAAUGGAUGUGGGCUCGGCGCUGGUCUUGGCCGCAGUGCUAACCUUGAUGUUGGCCUUCCCAAUGAUUAUCACAACCACCUUGGAAUUGGCUGUGGCUGUGGCCUUGGAAUUGGCCUUGGAGGUCGCCAAGGUAAUAGUAUUGGCCUUGGAAUUCGCCUUGGCUGUGGCCGUGGUAAUGGCAAUGACCUUGGCCUUGGCCUUGGCCUUGGCCUUGGCCUUGGCAAACGUGGGCGCCGGGGGCGAAGUCUCCUCACACUCUGAAGCUGUAAACCAUGACAAAACAGAUUUGUUGUGGGAUUGUGCAAGGGUCAAGACAAGAUCCCUCACUUCACACCUGAACAUCCUUCUAACUGGGACACCAUGAGUGUUGGACCCUGUUCACCCUCUGGCUGUUAUCUUUGAAGCAUAUGAUUGAAUCCCUAUAUACAGACACCUAGGGAGAAACAGGUCCACAGCCAACAUAGGGCUUCCAAGGGUCACAAGCCCAUCCUAGCAAAGCCAGAUUAGAGCAGGGGAUUAGAGAUCAUUACUGAGUUUAUUCCUCUCUACUUCAACCCAGUCAGAAUCCCCUGCAGGCCUUGUGAAAAUACGAAUGGCUGGACCCCACCCCAGAAUCUGAUUCAGGAGCUCUCAGACACGACAGUCUGUCUCAUGUCAGUUCCCGGGUGGGGACUGCAUCAGAGAACCACUACUCUAAGGGAUGUAGAGCCAGGGCUGGAGACCUGGGACCUGGGGGAGAGAGGGGUGCAGGUAGGAGGGCUUUUCUCUACCCUGGAUGGGGCAGUGGGUCAUCGGUCCAAAGCAUGCUCCACACUCUACCCACUAGAUCCUCCAAAACCAGAAGGGGCCACUCACCUCAUUACAGUUUAGGUCAAACUCAUCAUUGGACGUGUCCAGGCUGACUGUCCCCACACACUGUUUUCACCAGCUGCAAGGGGAGCUCAAGGUCAAACUGGAACCCCCCGGGCCGUUACCUCCCAGGCUCACCUUACCCCAUAGAUGCUGGAAACCUUCCCGAACUUCCCUGUUCAGCUCGCUGAGAAGCAUUGAUCCCAGCCCUCACUCCCCGCCCUCAGGCUCACCCCAUUCUCCUUGAAGUCACACUGCUCCGGGGGCUGCUGGCUCGUCCUGGGGCACACAGUCUCCUUCACCCUGAAGCUCACAGGCUUUCGAGCUCCCUGGUCCUCCGCCUGGUCAAAGAUCAAAGUGGGGAGACUGGCCUCAGGCUCAUGUUUCCUUCUCUGACCUGUGUCUCUGCCCCGGAUCCGGACAGCAGCCUCUCCAGGUUCAGGGGGACAUUAGCAGGGAAGUCACCUCACAGAGCCUGUGACCUCUCCAUCCCUGGAGCUCCCAGAAGUCCAGGGAGCCUGAGCCAGGUGUGCAGGGUGCCUGAUCCCACAGCAGAGAGGCUAAGGCAGGAAGCCUGGUGCUGGGAGGGGCCCCAGGUCUGGGAAGGUUUCCUGGAAGAGAUGGGAGCCCACCUAGAGGGAAAAGUGCCUUCCUGACAGGAGGACCAGCCUGAGCGAGGGGGCAAUAAUGUGGCCAAGGCAGGCGGGAGAAGGGCCCGUCCCCAGCCCCCUCCCCAACUCACAUCCUUGGGAGGCGGGUCUAGCUCCAGGAGGCGGUAGAGAUUAACUUCUGAGGACUUCUCAUUGAGCUGACCCACAGCACGAAGCACGGCCUCCCUGUAGCUGAGGGCCUGGGCGCUGGCCGAGGGCAGCAAUAGUCCCAGCAGCAGGAGCCACAGCGAACACCGUCCCAGCGAGGGGCUGGCCAUCUGGGUCUCCAUGGUCCCCGGUCAGCCUCCUCCCGCCUGAGGGAUGCUUCUUAUAUGCUCAACCUGGGCCUGAUGCAAAGGUUCAGCCAGGAACCUUCCCCAUCCCUACCCUCCUCCCAGGGUGUGAGCAGGUCUUGCCACAGUCCUUGCUGUUGCCUCAUGGGUUUUCUGGGCAGUGGGCAGGGAGGCCCCUGUGCAAGGUGAGAAAAUGGUUUCUCCAUCUCUCUUAAUACCUUGGCCUCUGUGGGGCACAUGGGAAGUGUCACAGUAAGGCUUGCUCAGGUGGGUUGUGCCCUCCAAGAGGGAAGGAGUACACAGUGUCUACAUCCCCUCUGACCUCCCUCCACUCCUGCCCAGCUCCUUCCCCGCCUCCUUUCAUCUCAGUGAAGCUCAAGGCCCACAGUUUAACUUCUUUGUGUUCCAGGCUCUUCCCUAACUACUGUCCACCCUCCACCCCGUCAUCUAGGGCUCCUGCCAGCCACUCAUGUAGCCACCGACCAGCUGCCUUGAGGCAGGGCCACCAUGGUCUGGAUAUUGAUCCUCAUCAUUGUCCACACCCCCGCCCUGAGGUUCUCAGGUGUCACGGUGCCCCAUCCACCCCAACCACAAGCCACCUCCAGCCUCCUGCCCUCCUCCCAUCUCUGCACCUGAUACCUCUGUUUGACCCGUCUUCCAACUUGAGAAGCCUUCCCUGACCUGCAACCACACAAGGAAACUUCUCUUGGCUCACAGAGAUUUCAGGACAUCCCUUCUGAUUUGACCUCAGUGACUCCCUGCUCAGUGCUCUGGUUGAACACUGGUGGGGAUGGGGGAGCGGGGCCCACUGGGGGGACAAGAAAGAACAGCUGGGAAAAAGAAUGUGCCCAAGGGACAGAGGAGUCCUGAGACCAUGAAGCCCGUUCGAAUCCAUCACCUGCAGGGAAGGACCAUGUGCCCCUGAGGCCCGGAGUGGCUUGUGGACUCAGUUGCCCUGGGGGACCCUUGGGGGCUUGGCCAGACUGCCUUGGAAGGAGGCAGCCUGGAUACACAGUUUAGUUGCCCACUCAGUCUUGGAGAAGGAAAGAAAGCUGGGCUUUGUGAAACCUGGUUACACAGCCCAGAUAUUGCCCCAGAGGCACCUUGGUCAAGCUGUAUCCUUCUCUCAAAUCAAAGGAGGAAAGGGAGAUGAUUACAAUAGAAACUAACUAGCAAUACACGUGGUUACUGGGUGGCUGAUAACCCUGACACCCACCCUAUGCUUUCCUGCCUCUGAGCCUUUGCCUUUGCUCAGACUUCAGACUGAAGUCCCCUCGUCCAUCCUCUCUGGAUGCGGUGUCGUGUCCUCUGCCAGGUUCAGGCUGUGCCUCCUAUGAUGCCAAGUGUGAGCCUUCCAUGCCUCCAGGAUCUUGCUUUAGUCUUCACAGCCUGUCAGAACAGAGCUCUUCUCAGGAAAGACACCACGCCCUUGUCCCUAGCCAGGUUCCCCCCAACUCCACAUCCGGUCUUUGGGAAACCCACAUACACUUUUCACCCCCAACAAACUCAGGUAGG
ensembl:lincRNA